AUUGAACGCUGGCGGCAUGCCUUACACAUGCAAGUCGAACGGCAGCACGGGUGCUUGCACCUGGCGGCGAGUGGCGAACGGGUGAGUAAUACAUCGGAACGCACCUUAUCGUGGGGGAUAACGCAGCGAAAGCUGUGCUAAUACCGCAUACGCCCUGAGGGGGAAAGCGGGGGAUCGCAAGACCUCGCGCGAUUAGAGCGGCCGAUGCCUGAUUAGCUUGUUGGUGGGGUAAAAGCCCACCAAGGCGACGAUCAGUAGCUGGUCUGAGAGGACGAUCAACCACACUGGGACUGAGACACGGCCCAGACUCCUACGGGAGGCAGCAGUGGGGAAUGUUGGACAAUGGGGGCAACCCUGAUCCAGCAAUGCCGCGUGAGUGAAGAAGGCCUUCGGGUUGUAAAGCUCUUUUAUCAGGGAAGAAACACCGGCUCUAACACAGUCCGGGAAUGACGGUACCUGAAGAAUAAGCACCGGCUAACUACGUGCCAGCCGCCGCAGUAA
rnacentral:rRNA from 1 species